GGGGAAAUAACUUAAUUGGUAGAGUGUAUGCUUUGCAAGCAUAAAGUUGUCGGUUCAAAUCCGAUUUUCUCCA
rnacentral:tRNA from 1 species